GACAGAGGCCUCGAGCGUUAGGCGGAAUCACUGGGCUUAAAGCGUGUGUAGGCGGACGCCUAAGUACCUUGUGAAAUCCCACGGCUCACCCGUGGAACCGCUGGGUAUACUGGGCGUCUUGGGCCAUUCAGGGGCAACUGGAACAAGCGGUGGAGCGGUGAAAUGCGUAGAUAUUAGGAGGAACACCGGUGGCGAAGGCGGCUAUCUGGACGACAACUGACGCUGAGGCGCGAAAGCACGGGGAUCAAACAGG
rnacentral:rRNA from 1 species